rnacentral:tRNA from 1 species
UCUGAAAUAGCUCAGUUGGUAUAGCGUCAAACUAUAAAUCGGAAGGUUCUUGGUUCGAUCUCGGGUUCCGGCA